CCACCGCAAUACGAAUAGGUUCUUUAUCCUUCUCCCUUCUCUGUUUCUCUCUCUCUCGCUCUCAUUCUCGCUCACUCUCUGUCUGUCUUUCUCGCUCUCUAUCUCUAUGUCUUUGUUUCUAUCUCUCUCUCUCUCUUUCUCUCCCUCUCCCUUCUUUUGUUUCCCUCAUUCUUACUCUUGCUCUAGGGUUUUAUAUGAUUUACCAAGUCAAAUUUCAUGUUGAUUUCUAAAAUGAGUUUUGUUUAAGUGGUUUAAUUUCUAGAGUUUUAUGGGUUUGAUGUGGUAAAUAUGUUUGAUUUAAGUGGUUUGAUACAUUUUCCCCUCUUUUCCUUUCUCUCUCAUUAGUCUCAAAGCCCUAAAUAUUUUUGCUCUUGGAAUGUCUGAAUUAUUUGAGGUUUGCUGCAUCAUAGUGAUACCAAAUGUUACUCUCACUUCACUGCUCUGCUUUGCUAUUCAAUCAAUCAAUUUGUCUCAAAUUUUUAUUCAGUACUAUUAAUUAAUUUUUUUCAUUGGUUGACCUCUAUAUCUAUCUCGAUUUUCUAUUUCUCCUUCUUUUUCCUACCAAGGGCCAAAAAGUUUAAUUGGGUUUCAGAAAAAAUGGGUGGUGUUUGAUUGACAAAAGGAUGUUGCUGAAGUUCUUUUGACCUGGUUUGGUUUUAAAAACCCUCUAAUUUUCUUUCUUUAAUAAUUAUUUGGGUCUUAUUCCAUAACAUUUUAGUUUGAUUUGUUUGGUUACUGGAAGUAAUGGGGAAUGAAUACAAAUUGAAAUUUGGGUAAAAAUACCAUGAGUAGGAGAAUACAAAAAAUUGCAUUUCGGGUCAGAUAUGCUACCCCAUAGAUAACACAGUACACCAUACAAAUGGGUGGCACAAUGAUAAAGGAAAAAACAUCAUUUUCCAUUUGGAUGAAUAUUGCAGGAAAAAGUUCAGAAAUUCAUAUAUCCACUUGGAGAGGGGGAAAAAAAAAACAGAAACUCCAGCCUUUAAUUUUCUUAAAUAAGUUAGAGAUUUCCAUCAGAAGACAAACCUCAAGCAAAAAUGUUAAGAGAACUUUUAAAAAGUAGAAAACACUCAGACCUGGUGCAACAGAUUCUUAUGUGUAAGCAUAACACCUUUUGGAUUGCCAGUAGUUCCGCUAGUGUAUACAAGUGUAGCAACAUCAUCAGAGCUGAUGUCUUCAUAAGUAUAGUGCUGCCCUGAAAUUAAAUUACAUAAUUUAAUAUAGCUAGUAAAAAAUAAGUUUGCAGAUAUAAACAUGCAAACAAUUAUCUCUGAAAGAAAUGUAAAAAUAUUAUGUUUCACUAAAUAAACCUUCAUAUGCAUUCAAUUAAUACAAGUUAAACUAUAACCAAAUUCAUCCCUCCAUUAUUUUGCCUUUAUAAAAAUUAAAACAAAUUAUUAGAAAAUAAAGAGUUCACAAGUAAUAACACAAGGAAGUGUUCUAUAGCAAAAGAAAAUUUUAAUUUAUUAAGCCUAUUGUAGAUUAACUUACUAGCAUCAUGAGACUCAAGCAAAAGCAUACGACUCUCACAUUCCAAAUCUAUGAUCUCCUUGUAAUUGUAAACAGACAAUCCCUCCAGCACUUUGCUAAUCGGGCUUGAUUUCUCCCCCCAAAGUAGUAUGACGAAUUUUGUAGCUACCAGGGAACAUAAUGUUUUUGCAAUCCGAUUGAACAAUUCAGGAUUGUCCACAACAAGUGCGACACUGCAGUUAUAUUAACAAGGAAAGGAACAUAGUAUGUAAUUCCAUGAAAAAUGUAUCUAGGAAGAGAAAGAUAAUUCACAUCAUUCAAAAAAUAAACUAAACAGAAGAAGAAUCAAUAUAUCUCCAGCAGUUUCACAUCACAAAUUCAUAAAAGAUCAGCACAUAAAGUGGACGUACUGCAUCUUUGUAUACUGCAUUCCAUCCACUCUAGUGUACUGUAAGCAGUAGUUGGAAAGGUCAUGCACUCUACAUGUGCAUUUUUUACAAAAUAAUGAAUAUUAUUCUUAAAGGUACAUUAGGUUGAUUUUUUGUUAGAAGCAUUAUUCUUCUUAAAACUGCUCUUGAUGCAUUGUCAUUACUCUUAAUGGUACAUUAGGUUGAAUUUUGAUUUUGUUUCUAUUUUUCAGUUUAGUAUUUUGGUUCCUAAAACCCAAUUUGACAGUAAGUUAUGGCAUGGUCAGUGUAUGCUAAGAAGUAUUUUCAAUUAUUCUAGUUGAUAUUGCCUGGCUACUAAAAACUUAAAAUGCUCAUUCAGUUCUAUGAAUCAAGGAUAUCUAGGCAUGUGUUAAUGGAUUUCAUGUCAAGUUGUUUUGUAAUGUGGGCACUAGGAAUCUAACAUUUAGUAACUUCAAGACUUGUGUUUUUCAAAAAAAAUAAUAAACUCUCUUCAGUGUUAAUAAGGCCUGUAAAGUGGUAUUAACAAAAUUUCUUGUACGAUUAAUUUUGUACUAAUCUGUCUUUGCUGCAGUAACCAAAUGUGUGAAGGAAUAAAACUGAAUAAUUUCCUUCUUUUUAUGUGUUUUUGUUGUUGUGUGUGGUUUAUUAAAAUGUUUUGUUUGUUGUUUAUUUUUUCCUCCAUGCAUCUAAGUUUCUCCAAAUUAAAAAAAAAAAAGGAAAAAAAGAAAAGGAAACAAUUGGAGCAGGAGUGAUGGUACCAAUACUAAUAUAGGGUAGAAAAGCCGUUACUAGAGGUAUUGGUUGUGUUGUUCACUCUCUGUGUAUCUACUUCUAUUAUCAUCAAAUAAGAUUUGGCUGAAAAUUAACUUGUUGGCUAAAGUUAUGUUAUGAAUAUGAUAAUUGUCGAAACUAGCAUUACAUCUCAGAAAGUGCUCUCUCUUUGUUUCUUUGUACUUCUCCUUCUUCUUUUAGUACUACAACACCUUAAGCUAGUCUUAAAUUUUGGAAUUUGAAGCACAAUAUUCUUGAUUUCUGACUUUCUAAUUUAUUUAAUGGUAAUUUACCAAUAGGUCCUUCUUUUAGGACUAAUUACCAAUAGGUUCUACUUUUGGGACUAAUUACCAAUAGGUUCUACUUUUGGGACUAAUACGAUUGAUUGGUAAGUGUCCCUUUAUUUAACUUCCACUAUUUUUCUUCAUUCUGCAUUUGGUCAAGGUUUUACAUGCAUAAUUCUAACGUCAAAAGAUGAAUGAUCUGUUUCAUAUCAUGCUCUUGGGGAACAUGAACAUUAUUUAAGAACUGCAAAUGAUUUUCUCCUGUCAACUUUGGUUUUAUGCUUCAUUUGUUAUGUGAUAACCCAACCCGUAUUAUGCUUAAUUAUACACAUGUUUAUGUGUUUAAUAUAAAUUUGCAAGUUAUGUAUAUGAAUUAUGUGAUUUUGAAUUUUAUAUUUGUUGAAUGUAGGAAAAUCUAUUGCAAUUAGAACUUUGAACUGGAAAUUGAAAGUCUUAGAGGCGUGAUAGACCAAAACCGACUUCAUAUUUGUGAUUAGCAUGAUUUUUAGAGUCUACGGUGAAAUUUCGUAAAAUUACAAUUUGUAAUUUUUAAUUAGCCUAUAUUAUACAUAUUUCUCUAGUUCUUGAGUUCAUCAUUUUUUUGGGGAGAGCUUUGCUAGAGGGUGAGUUAGAGAGAGAAGAAGAGGAGAAGUUAGAGAUUUGGUAGAGAUUCAAGGGGCAAACCCUAGAUUUGAGCUAAGGUAUGGAAAUUUACUUGGAAUUCUUGUAUAUAACUCAUCUAUUGCUUGAAAACAUAUAGAGAUUUGAAGAUUUGAAACCCUUUUGGGUUAGCGUUUUGGGUUGUGUGUUUAUUUGAGCUAAACUAUGAAAUUGGAACUUAAAUGUUUUGAUUUUGCAUGAUUGGAGUUCAAUCUUGUGAAUAAUGUAUGAAACAAACCUUAGAUAAUUCAUGAAAACAAGAUUUGUUGAAAGAUUGCUCAUGGAUCAUGUAUUUUGAAUUUUGAAUUUGUUUAUGUAAUGUAUGAAAUUGUGAAAAGAUGGGACCAUGAGAUUGUUGUUGAUGCAAGAUUGAUAUUUUUAAUGAGGGAUUACACUUGUAUCAUGUUUUUGAGUUGUUUUUACAUGAAUUUGGGCUUGGAAAUGAGUUUCGGAAGUUCGCAUCUUUGAACCAUUUUCGGACUGUCUGAUUUUGCCCAAACCGCACGAGUGGCCACGGGCACCGCACGAGCAGAACGUGAAGAAAAAAAAGAAGUUUUCAUUCUGUUCCUUGGGCGCUUGAGCGGCCGAUUUUUCCGCUCGACCGGAUUUGGGCCGCACGAGCGGUGAAGACUUCCGCACGUGUAGAACCCCUGUUUCAGCCCAACUUCAAAAAGACACGGAUUACGACCCAUUGAGGACUAAUGAGUUUGGAACCAACAAAAAUAAUUGGUUAAGGAGCAAAGUCAUGAUUCGAGGAGCGAUCAACUAUUUCUGGAUACCACUGUGAUCAACAGCAUAGAGGACAUCCCUAGAGUCAGCUUCAGGAGCUAUUUUGUGACCCAAUCGAGUCAUGCCUCUGAAAUGGAGUUUGUCUUUAACUCACACCACACCUUGACCUUAUUUUGCUUUUGCCAUUAUGGUCUUGGGUUUGUAAAUAAUAUGUGUAAAUUUCUUGUGGCACUUAUAUUUUUGAUAGGCAUGUAUAUGUAUUAUUGUGUUAUGUGGUUAACUUUGUAAUUUUUCUCAUGAUUGGCACAACUCAAUGGACUUCUCUUUAUUAUAUGCUUCCGUUUAUGACCCCAUUAGCAUAAAUAUUCUGUAUGAUCGUUGAGGCCUUCGGUAAUUACGGAUUACUGGUCGGUUAUGACCCAAACUUUUAGAGGGCGGGUUCGGGUCAUGACAUAUUAUAAGAGAUUCUAUUACUUCUCAACAUGC